GUGCCAUUCGGAGUUUACACUGGAAGUGUCACGUGACACCAUCAUGCAGUCUUUCUCUCUGUCCCUCCAACUCUUCUAAUCGAUUUUCCAUUCCAACUCUUCCAUUCGCAUUUCUCGAUUAUCUGUCGUUAGAUCUCACCAGAGGAUGAAAUCCCACCGUCGAUUCUCCCUCCUACUCGCAUCCUUUUGCUUGAUUUCAAUCGCAACUACAGCUUCUGCUGCUCUCUCCAAAGACUCCUUAUUGGGAGUAGCUCCUGAAGAUGAGAAAUACUACCAGUCCGAUGUAAUUAGAUGCAAAGACGGGUCGAAGAAAUUCAAGAAAGAUCAGCUCAAUGACGAGUUCUGCGAUUGCCCUGACGGGACUGACGAACCUGGAACAUCGGCAUGCCCAGAGGGAAAAUUCUAUUGUCGCAAUGCAGGUCACUCUCCCAUUACUCUGUUCUCCUCGAGAGUGAAUGAUGGUUUCUGUGAUUGUUGUGAUGGGAGUGAUGAAUAUGAUGGUAAGGUGAAAUGUCUAAAUACAUGCUGGGAGGCUGGUCAAGUGGCCAGAGAUAGAUUAAAGAAAAAGAUCACGACAUAUCAGGAAGGAGUCAUUAUACGGAGGAAGGAAGUAGAGCAAGCAAAACAGGCUCUUGCUAAGGAUGAAGCAGAGUUGUCAAAGUUGAAAAAUGAGGAGAAGAUACUCAAAGGGCUGGUUCAAACGCUAAAAGAGCGCAAGGAACAAGUAGAAAAGGCAGAGGAGCAAGAACGCCUAGAGAAAGAACAGGAAGAGAAAAAGCAAAGAGAAGCUGAAAAGAAUAGCAUUGAGCAAGAAAAGAAGCCCACAGAAACUCCGCAUGACGAGACAAAGGACACUGUGGGUGAACUUACAGAGACAUUGGACCAGGCUGAAGAGACUCCACGUGAUGACAUGCAGGAUAAUGUGGGCAAACUGCCGGAGACAUUAGAUCAGCAUGCGGCAGAAGACAAUGGUGAUGCUGUCGAUGAAGCUCAGAUGAGUGAUAAUGCUGAAAGUGAAGCAUCUCCCAUCCAUGCAGCAAAAGAGGUUCUGGAAAUAGAAAAAGACAACACUCUUGUCAAAGAUGAAACUGGUCAUGAUGCUGGAACUGGAAGUGGGGCAUCUUCCAAUCAUGCAGCAGACAAGGAGGAAGAUAAACCUGAAAAUACUGAAGGGUUAUCUAGAGAAGAGCUUGGCCGUCUUGUAGCUUCUCGCUGGACAGGAGAAAAUGCUGGUCAGAAAACUAAUGAAUUUGGUGAUGCAAAAGAGGAAGAACAUGAAGGCAGUUCGCAGAUCCCAGAUGAUACACAGGAUGAAGACUAUGAUCGCUACACUUCAGAGGACGAAGAUGACCGAAAGAAUGCUUAUGAUGAAACGGAAGACAACGACGUGGAUGAUGAGGAUGAAGAAGGAGAGCACGAAGAUCCUCACCCCUCAUAUGACACUGACGUGGAAGACAGAAGUCACAGAACUGACUUUUCAGAAAAUUUGACCCCGAGUAGCCCAUCUUGGUUGGAUAAGAUACAACAAACUGUCCGAAACAUUUUACAGGCAGUUAACUUGUUUAAGACUCCUGUUGAUAAAUCAGAAGCUGCUCAAAUUCGGAAGGAAUACGAAGAUUCUAGCCAGAAGUUGUCCAAAAUACAAUCAAGAAUAUCAAGCCUAACUGAAAAGCUGAAAAAUGAUUAUGGGUUGGAGAAGGAAUUCUAUUCAUUCUACGAUCGUUGCUUUGAGAACAAGCAGAACAAAUAUGUCUACAAGGUGUGUCCAUUUAAACAAGCAUCCCAGGUGGAAGGCCACAGUACUACCAAAUUGGGGCGCUGGGAGAAAUUUGACGAUUCUUACAGAGUCAUGCAAUUUUCCAAUGGUGAUAAAUGCUGGAAUGGGCCUGACAGAAGUAUAAAUGUGAGGCUUAGGUGUGGAUUGAAUAAUGAACUUACUGACGUUGACGAACCGAGCCGUUGCGAAUAUGUUGCAUUGCUGUCGACUCCCGCUGUAUGCCUGGAAGAAAAGCUGAAGGAACUACAGCAUAAACUCGAUUUGAUGAACACAAACCAGCCUCAAAGCCACGAUGAGCUUUGAACUGUUCAGAUAGAUUAGCAAGAGAUCUAAACUUAGUGGGAUGCACAUCCCAACAGUUUAGCCGUAGUUCUUCAGAGGACAGUUAGUGCUUGUUGAAGAUAUAUAGAGAUAUUUAAAACAGCCAGUGCACCGGCCAUUUGAAGACCGUGAGAUAUGAAGUGAGCUCCCCUUAUCAAGUUUUUGAGCCCCACUUCUGCUACGUCAUCAUACAGUUGUGUUUUUCUACUCCAGAGGGACGGAUCAAAGCUCGAGACUGGUUACCAUAACCCAAGGUCACACAUAACUGAUCUUUGGUUUCAGUCCAUUGAAUGAUCAGUUUUAUCUGCUUGGUGCCAUUACCAGGGAAAUUAUUUUGGAUGAAUCAUAUGAUAUCUUCCUAUUCUCAGCUUGUGCAAGUGGGGCCUAUGUUUAGGUGAUUCAAACCGUUGAUCUGAUAGGACUCCGGAGUGGACCAUUCACGAAAAAACACUAAAACCAAAUGUGACAAUCCUAAACCCUCAGCAAACACUGUUAAGAAAAGGCAGACAGCAACUGUCAACAUUAAACUGAAAAAUGGCCAAAGAUAGGAUGGCUAGGAUCUUCCCAUCAGGGAUAUUUGUGGCAUGGUAGAACAGGUGUGGAGGUUACUAAGGGACUUAGCCAUCUCCAGCUCUACUUGUACAUAUGAGAGCCUUGUACAUACUAGAAGAGUAU